GAAGAAUCCAUAGCCAGAGUUUCCCUCUCGGAGUACCUGUGAAGUGAACUUGCCCGGGGCUGAAACUCAUUGACAAGACACCAUCCCAUACCAACUUCAUGGCUGCUGCUUCACUGGCCCCUCCAAAUCUCAGGCAAAAUGUCUCUUGUGGCCCCACCCUAACUGGAUAUCUACAGCCUAAACAAGAUUAUAUUUACACCAGAUUUGGAAAUGCUAAUGCUUCUGCAAAAUUUAAUCUUAGAAAAAUAACCAAAGAAAUGGAAAAGCACUAAUUAACAAGCAUGUUCAAAUGCCUACAGUUGUUGUUACCUGAAUUCAAGGGCAGAAUUACCAUUUGCCCCUCAGCAUACCCCAAAUUCAAACAAUAUAAUUUAAAAUUGGUGUGAAUAAGAGCCAUAGACCAGUGGAACAGAUUAGAGACUCCAGACAUUAACCCAAACAUAUAUGGUCAAUUAAUAUAUGAUAAAGGAGCCAUGGACAUACAAUGGGGAAAUGACAGUCUCUUCAACAGACGGUGCUGGCAAAACUGGACAGCUACAUGUAAGAGAAUGAAGCUGGAUCGUCUAACCCCAUACACAAAAGUAAAUUCAAAAUGGAUCAAAGAUCUGAAUGUAAGUCAUGAAACCAUAAAACUCUUAGAAAAAAACAUAGGCAAAAAUCUCAUGGACAUAAACAUGAGUGACUUCUUCAUGAACAUAUCUCCUUGUGCAAGGGAAACAAAAGCAAAAAUGAACAAGUGGGACCAUAUCAAGCUGAAAAGCUUCUGUACAGCAAAGGACACCAUCAAUAGAACAAAAAGGUGUCCUACAGUAUGGGAGAAUAUAUUCAUAAAUGACAGAUCUGAUAAAGGAUUGACAUCCAAAAUAUAUAAAGAGCUCACACAGCUCAACAAACAAAAAGCAAAUAAUCCAUUUAAAAAAUGGGCAGAGGAAUAAGAAAAGGGCAAAUCCAAUCAUUUGCAGCAACAUGGAUGGAGCUGGAGGGUAUUAUGCUCAG